rnacentral:lncRNA from 1 species
UUCCAAGUCUCCAAUAGCCACCCAUUGCCACCCCCUUUACCUCUCCUCCCACUUCCCAAUUCAGCCCAACUCAAAUGGCAACAGAGAGAGCUCAUAAUGUUCAUGCACUUUGGCAUGAACACCUUCACAGACUCAGAGUGGGGAACAGGGCACGAAAGCCCGACCACCUUCGCACCAACCUCUCUCGACACAAGCCAAUGGGCUCGAGUAGCCAAGGACUCGGGCUUCUCUCUCGUCAUACUCACCGCUAAGCACCAUGAUGGCUUCUGCUUAUGGCCCUCAAAAUACACAGAUCACUCUGUGAAAUUCAGUCCAUGGAAGAAUGGAACAGGGGAUGUGGUCCAUGACUUUGUGGACUCGGCUCGAGCCCAGGGCUUGGAUGUGGGCUUGUACCUCUCGCCAUGGGAUCGGCACGAGCACACUUAUGGGCGCGACUUGCCUUAUAAUGAGUUCUAUUUGGGCCAGCUACAGGAAUUGCUAAGAAGGUAUAGGACUUAAUUUCAUGUUCAUUUCUUUUAGUUGAUAGUAUAAUUUUAUUUUAUGAGCAUAAUUUGAUUCGUUAGCGACAUAAUGGUAAGCUAUCAUGACCGAUAGAAAUUUGGGGGGACUUUUUUUUUUGUUUGUUUUUGGUGGUAUGAUGGUUCGUUUGUUCUUCACCUAUGGGGAAAAAGAAAAAAUAAAAGGAAUUUGAUAAGUUUAUUUUAUCAGCAUAAUUUGAUUAGCUAGCGACGUAAUGGUUAGUUAUAAUGACCAAUAGAAAUUUGGGGGUCUUUUUUUUUUUUUGGGUGAUAUGAUGUUUUGUUUGUUCUUCACCAAUGGGUAAAAAGAAAAAGAGGAUUUGAAAAGUAAGGGGAAAAAAAAAGAAGAGAAGUACGCCGAAUAACAAAAGUUAGGAUGAAGUUUCGAUAGGGCGAAAACAAAAUAAAGCCUCAACUCAAAUGCUCAUCCAAAAGGCACUUUCGGCAUUAGGAAUCUUUAUGAUGGCUCUAAAAUUAAUUUUCAACACUGACAACAAAAUUUGAAACUCAAAAAUUCUCUAAAAUUAAUUUCAACACCGGCAAUAAAACUUAAAACUCAAAAAUUGAUUCAGAUCUUGUGGAUUUGUAAGCAUUUAUUUUUUGGACGAAUUGGAUGGUCAAGAUUAUUUGUUGCUAUAUACACUAUUUUUAGAUUUUAAAAUCCUAAUUUUUUUGCACAACCAUAAUGUUCAUGUUGAGAUGAUCGAUUUAAAGGUUGUUCCACACUUGCAUUGCAAUUUUUGAUGAGUUAUGAGGUGACACAGUACAAUACGAUAAAGAUGCAGCCCUAUCAAACCAUUCUCGGACAAAUUACGUGAAAAACGCACUAACUUUUUCUUUGCCCUUUUUAUAAAAUCAUGGUGCGUUUGCUUUCCACGCUCAUUGUCCUUUGGACAUGAAAAAUUUAUGGUACCACACUCUUGGUUGUUUUGUAUGUAGCAUGCUGGUCUCUACCAUCUCUUUGCAAUAACAUAUAGCAACGGGGAUCAGUAUAAAAAUUAAUAUUUGAAAAUGUAGACAUGGGUUUGGACUCAGCAGGCGCUCAAGUCCAUAGAGAAUUGGCUGUGUCAGAAGUCCAACUAGGCCAUUUUUUAGGGACAGUAACAAGGACCCUAGGUUUUGGGUGACUCCGUACAGAAUCUAGGGCCCGAGUUCGAACGCACUCUAAGUGAUUCCAAAUCGGUUCAGGGAUGUUUAUAUCAGUGAUAUAAACAGCAUAUUCAUGUUAUAUACUAGACAAACCGAAGGUAAACAAAUUAUGGAAAAGUUGCCAUUACAUACGGUAUACUUUUCCUGAACUUAUUUAUGAUAAGAAAAGGGAAAGUAGAGAAUAAGGGAGUAGUACACAACAAACGCCAACAUAUUAACUAAGAAUGGCAAAGUAUGGAAUGAGGGGAAAAUAUGCAAUAUGACUAUUUACUUUUGAUACAACAUCACAAUUGCCUUUAACUGUUAAAUGAUAUCAAACAUGCUUAAAGUACAAAGUAAUUUUUUUNNNNNNNNNNNNNNNNNNNNCUUCCAAGUCUCCAAUAGCCACCCAUUGCCACCCCCUUUACCUCUCCUCCCACUUCCCAAUUCAGCCCAACUCAAAUGGCAACAGAGAGAGCUCAUAAUGUUCAUGCACUUUGGCAUGAACACCUUCACAGACUCAGAGUGGGGAACAGGGCACGAAAGCCCAACCACCUUCGCGCCAACCUCUCUCGACACAAGCCAAUGGGCUCGAGUAGCCAAGGACUCGGGCUUCUCUCUCGUCAUACUCACCGCUAAGCACCAUGAUGGCUUCUGCUUAUGGCCCUCAAAAUACACAGAUCACUCCGUGAAAUUCAGUCCAUGGAAGAAUGGAACAGGGGAUGUGGUCCAUGAGUUUGUGGACUCGGCUCGAGCCCAGGGCUUGGAUGUGGGCUUGUAC